rnacentral:tRNA from 1 species
GGAGGGGUGGCCGAGUGGCUUAAGGCGCACGCUUGGAAAGCGUGUGUGCGGGAGACCGUACCGCGGGUUCGAAUCCCGCUCCCUCCGCCA